rnacentral:tRNA from 1 species
AGUGAGGUAGGAUAAAUUAGUCUAGUGGGUUCAUACCCCAUAGGUGGUCUUAUGACCCCUCAUUA